CCUCUCUCCAUUUUAUCACUCUCCAAGUGAUGCUGCAUCUCGCAUACUAUUCCUGGCCUUGAAAAAGAUCCCAGAAAGGGAUUGAAAUGCUUUGGCAUUUGCGUGGACUAUUCGGUAGAUUGUGAAGGAUUCUGGGGCCAUUGCCUGACUGGGAGCUAUGCCAUGGUUGUGAUCCGGGACACCCACAGCAUCACCGUGGUUACCAGCCAGGGACCCGUUUUGUCACUUCCGCAGGAAGUGACAUACCCGGAAGUGAGGGAGGCGGAGCCAGGUAUGCUGGGACAGCGGUGAUGUGCAGUGGGAAGUCUCCUUGGUCAUUUUCUGGAGCCAGGCCAAUAACAAAGUUCAUCUUUUCCUUCAUCAGCACCUCACGAAUAAUGUGCCAUCCAGCCAUAAGAUAAUGACAUUUAUCUGACAUUUUCAGUGCUAGUGGCAAAUUUCUCUCCGAUAGACUGUAAACGCAUGAUGCUGAAACAGAAAAUGUACAGUAAUUAGAUGAGGAAAGCAAGACAUUAACAGUUCUCUAAACAAGCUUCCCAGAAUAAAAUGGAAACGAUCAUUGUAGUUUGUGCAUCUCUGUAAAAUGAUGUUCUAUAACACUUUUUAAUAACAUUCUGGAGACAGACCAAGCGCUUUCAGUUACAUUGAUCUCACUGUGAAGGACGUUUGCUAUGUGGAGGUGGUAGCAGGUGUUUCACCGGCAAC